rnacentral:rRNA from 1 species
GACGAACGCUGGCGGCGCGCCUAACACAUGCAAGUCGAACGAGCGAGCGAGAGCUUGCUUUCUCGAGCGAGUGGCGAACGGGUGAGUAACGCGUGAGGUACCUGCCUCACAGAGGGGGAAAACAGUUUGCAACGACUGCUAAUACCGCAUAAGCCCACGUGUCCGCAUGGCACCGAGGGAAAAGAGGCUAUCCGCGUUGAGAUGGCCUCGCGUCCGAUUAGCUAGUUGGUGAGGUAAUGGCCCACCAAGGCGACGAUCGGGAGCCGGACUGAGAGGGUGAACGGACACAUUGGGACUGAGACACGGCCCAGACUCCUACGGGAGGCAGCAGUGGGGAAUAUUGCACAAUGGGGGAAAGCCUGAUGCAGCCAUGCCGCGUGAAGGAAGAAGGUCUUAGGAUUGUAAACCCCUGUUGUCGGGGAAGAUAAUGACGGUACCCAAGAAGGAAGCGCCGGCUAACUUCGUG